GACACCGUGGGGUGGUCAGAUGUAGGCGGUCUGGCACGGAAGAAACCAGUCAGCCGCAGGCGUUGCCAUGGCAGCCGUGGACCAGAUCCCUGCCUGCCUGCCUGCUUGCCUGCUUACUGUCUGCUUACGGGUCCCUGAGCCCUCUGCUUUUCCGCACCGGCCCAGCCCCCGAUCCUCCUUCCUGGUCCGGGCAACCAGCGACUUCGGACGGCUCUCUCCUCUCUUCCUUUCUGGAAGAGCCCCAAGGUAAUGGGAGUAGGUAGGCUGCGCCCCCGCCCAGGUAGCAUAGACCCUGCUGCCCGGUUGGCACUUUAUCACCUUCCUGCACAGAUGAGGAUGAUGGAGAAUGACUCACUCAUGUAAGGAAACACGGCAAGACGGACAGAGACCCACAACUUCAGGGUCCUCAGGUUCUCAUCGUGACCCUGCAUCAGCCUUCAGGGACAAUCACAUUUAUCUGGAUAGACAGGGUGUAUCCAGUAGAGAGAACAGCCCACGCCAUGAUGAAUGGAGUAGGAAGCGGGAGAAGUAGAAACCACCA